rnacentral:rRNA from 1 species
AACGAACGCUGGCGGCGUGCCUAACACAUGCAAGUCGAGCGCGAACGAUCCCUUCGGGGAUCUAGUAGAGCGGCGAACGGGUGAGUAACGCGUGGGUAACCUGCCCUUUGGUGGGGAAUAACUCCGGGAAACUGGGGCUAAUGCCGCAUCAGCUCCUUGUCCCUGCGGGGACUUGGAGGAAAGCAUGCCUCUGCUUCAAGCAUGCGCCAGAGGAGGGGCCCGCGUCCCAUUAGCUUGUUGGUGGGGUAAUGGCCUACCAAGGCGACGAUGGGUAGCCGGCCUGAGAGGGUGUCCGGCCACACUGGGACUGAGACACGGCCCAGACUCCUACGGGAGGCAGCAGUGGGGAAUAUUGCGCAAUGGGCGAAAGCCUGACGCAGCGACGCCGCGUGGGGGAUGACGGUCUUCGGAUUGUAAACCCCUGUCGUACGGGACGAACAACCUGGGGAUGAAUAAGCCUCAGGCCUGACGGUACCGUGCAAGAAAGCCCCGGCUAACUCCGUGCCAGCAGCCGCGGUAAUACGGAGGGGGCAAGCGUUGUUCGGAAUCACUGGGCGUAAAGGGUCCGUAGGCGGCCGCAUAAGUCCCGGGUGAAAGCCCUGGGCUCAACUCAGGAAUUGCCCUGGAAACUGUGCGGCUAGAGUUCGGUAGAGGAAGACGGAAUUCCCGGUGUAGCGGUGAAAUGCGUAGAUAUCGGGAGGAACAUCUGUGGCGAAGGCGGUCUUCUGGGCCGAUA